UUUUGGUCAAAAAAAGUAACAGAACAUAUAGGUUAGCAGUUAGCUGGAGUGGGCAAUUGUUGUGUGUGAUUCUUUUGAUAGAAUGGAUGGGAAUGCAUUUGUUACCUCUAUUUUCUAAGAUUUUUUUUCAUCAAUUCAAAAUCACCGCAAACUUAUUAUGUAUUGUUUAUGGUUGCAGGACUUUGUUUUUAUGCUAUGACUUGUUGGAGUUGUUUAUUUCUAUUAUGAAGUUAGGCAGGAUUUGUUUUUUUUAAAUAAAAUUUGAAUAGGUCUGAAUUUUUUUGAAAUCUGAAUGGGUCUAAAUAUGAAUAUCUGAAUGAUAUAUUUA
rnacentral:lncRNA from 1 species